UUUUCACCUCUUGAUUUUGACAACAUGGAAACAACUAAUCGUUUUCCUCUAGUGAUCGGUCGAUGUCUUCUGAAGACUGGUCAUUUGGAAGCAGGUUCUCCGUGUUCGAAGAACGAAGGAGUAGCUACCGAUCGCUUUCCAUUGGCAACCAGUAGUUUUGAAGCAGAGUGACUCUUUUGGGAAAAAAUUGAGAAUUUAAGAAGUAGUGGAUUCUCGAUUCUCG
rnacentral:lncRNA from 1 species